GGUAGUGCUAGCAAGCUAACACAGUGUGGGAAAUUAUGAACCAAGUGUGGAAGCAGAAAUAUGUGUUUCCUUGGAGGAGGACUAAUAAGAAAAUAGUGGUUUGGUAUUGGGAAAUGUUGAGUUGGCUUCUUGGAGAAGCAAGCUGAUAUGAUACUGUCCUGAAAAAGGUGGGACUUAAACCAUCAGGAUCUGGUCAGAGGUUUGGAACAGAGGUGGACUAUGAAUGCCCUGUCUUUGAAAGCUGAAUCCGGCAGUGGUGUGAGGGCUUCCAUCAGAGACUGAAAGCAGAAGCCACAAAUGUGGUGAAGGAGAACCAGCCUUUGCAAAUGAAGGAGUUGGGCUAUAUGGUUACUAGGUUGACAGAUGAGGGGAUUGCUGUGUACACCAUGUGACUCCAGUGGCCUAAGACACUUGACAAAGUCAUAGUGAUGAGAAAACUGAGUACCAGAAAGAUCAGGUGACUUGAACAAUGUCACAUGGUUAGCAGAGGAGGCAGAACUGGAAUCCACGGCUUUGAUCUUUUACAAGAGGCCAUAGGGUUUCCCUGGUGGUGCAGUGGUUAAGAAUCCGCCUGCCAAUGCAGGGGACAUGGGUUCGAGCCCUGGUCUGGGAAGAUCCCACAUGCCACGGAGCAACUAAUCCUGUGCACCACAGCUACUGAGCCUGUGCUCUAGAGCCCAUGAGCCACAGCUACUGAGCCUGUGAGCCACGACUACUGAAGCCCGCGCACCUAGAACCCAUGCUCCACAACAAGAGAAGCCACCACAAUGAGAGGCCACACACCACAACGAAGAGUAGCCCCUGCUCGCCACAACUAGAGAAAGCACGUGCACAGCAACAAAGACCCUACAUAGCCAAAAAAAAAAAAAAAAAAAAACCCAAGAGGCCAUAGUAAUACCUAGUGUCAAUUAAAAAAUAAGAAAUAAAAGCAGAACAUGAAAGAAAAAGAAGUCUAGGGUACUCCCCUGGUGGUCCAGUGGUUAAGACUCCAUGCCCCUAAUUCAGGGGGCCUGGGUUCGAUCCCUAGUUAGGGAACUAGAUCCUGCAUGUGCAACUGAAGAGCCCGUGUGCUGCAACUAAGACCCCGCACAGCCAAAUAAAUAAAUAAGUAAAUAAAUAAAUGAAUAUUUU